UCUAAUGACAGGACACUAAAUUGUGAAUAUUAAAACCAUGGGUCACCAAAGUGAAAUUUACUUAAACGUUGGGACACUAAAGUGUAAAUUUUCCUAUAUAUAAAUGAGUAUAUUUAUAUUGAAGCUCAUUCAUUAAACAAGCUUUAAAAUUUGUUCAAGCAAGACUCUUUUAUUAAUUAAAUAAAUAAACAUAAACGAGAUUCAACCGAACAUAAUAGUUUAUUGAUCAGCUCGAUUUAUUUACAUCUCUAAAUAUAAAGUUUUUGAUCCUUUCUCAAGCAUUCACCUAAUACUAAAAAAAAAAAAAAAAAAUAAUAAAAAAAAAAAAAAAAAAAAACAACGGUACAAAAGCUAAAAUGUUGUAAAGGAAUAAAAUGAAAUUCCUCUAUAAAUAAAGUGUUCCCCCCAAUAUUACUAGUCCACACCAGUCAAUACACUUCUUCUCUUUUCUCUCUCCUCCACUUUCUUGUCGCAUUCACUCUUCAGACUUCUUCAUCUGCCAUUUUAUAUUGCUAAAACAAAUACUUUCUGUAAUAUCCAACAAGAACGGGUGACCCACAGAAUCCAAUUACGGAAAGGGAUUACAAUGGAUACCACAUUCAUAAGCGUGGAAGCUUUUAUGUCAAUUGCCGGUUGCUUUGCUUAUGUGGAAGCCAUGUCGAACAGACACUUGAAAUAGUGCCGACAGUUAGAAGCGGUGAGACAAGUGGAGCACAAGGCCUUGAUGAGGAAGAAUUGCAAUAGAGUGCUUUUCUCUUUGAAGAUGACCCUAAGGGGAAGAAGGUGUGUUAAUUGGAAGAUGAAUGUGGUGGAGAAGGAAGACAGAAUAUUCGUGUUUCUUAUUUUCCUUGAGAACUUUUUUUUUGGUAGUGUAUGGUUUGUGGAGGAGUACUACUGUACUAAUAAUUUUAGUUAUUGUGACUUACUGACUUUCAGACAUUAGUUUUGUUGAGUUUUGGAGUAGUUUAACAUUUUUACUUAUUGGGAGCAGCUGUUAAUUUCUAAUCCAUACCUUGAGUAUUAUUUUAAUUGCCAUUUUUUUUUUGAACGGAAAGUGCAUAUGUUGGUUAUUCGAAAAUAUGGCCUUAAAUAGAUUUUUAUGUAUUUUGAUUUUCUAAAAUAAUAAAGUACAACAACUUUCUCCAAUUGUAACUAAUCAAUUUGUUUUCCAAGGAAGUAAUUAGUCCAUGUUUUAUACUGUUUAUUUGUUUAAAGAAUUUGAGUUACGAUUGUUUCAUUGUUUAUAAAGACCAUCUCUAAUGGUGAGACUUGAGGUGAUGGUCGCCGGCGGAGAUAAUGGGAAAAGAGAGGGUCGAUCAGCGGUGAAGGUAGGUCGUCGAAAAGUGGGGAUUUGGGCUGCGGGUCCGGUGGGGAAGGGGGUUGCCAAACUUGCUACCAAGGAAGGGGGGAAGGGGGGAGGAAGAGGAGGUGGUUGGGGGUGGUGAUUUGUUUUAUAUAGAAAUUAAAUCUAAAUAUUGGUUUAGAGCUUAAUUAGAAGAAAUUGGAGGAAAUUAGAGAUUUAUUAAGUAAAUUAGAGGGUACUUAAGUAAAUAGGUUUCCUUUCGCGAAAAAAAAAAAAAAAAAAAAUGAACGUGGUGGUUUUUAAACCAAAAGGCUUUUAAAAGGGAUUUUUUUUAUUGUCAAUUUUCCUUAAUUUUAUAACAGGAUUAUAGGUCAAUAAAAGUCUUAACAUCUGCCUUACUUGUCACAGUUAUAAGGAACAAGAGUCCCUCGGACAUUCAGCUUUUAUGAAUUUUGAAGGAAAUUAUCAAGAUAGGAAGUAAUCGUACUUUUUAGCAUUGCAUCAUUCUAAAAGUGGAUAGAACAGAAGUCAAUCUCGCCCACCAAAUAGCAAAUCAAUGUCGAGUUACCUUGAACGGUUUCUCUAAUUCUGCUUCUUUUUUUUUUUUUGAUGUGUUUUAGUCUUACGCUGUCUUAA